rnacentral:rRNA from 1 species
AACCUGGUUGAUCCUGCCAGUAGUCAUAUGCUUGUCUCAAAGAUUAAGCCAUGCAUGUCUAAGUAUAAAUAGUAUACAGUGAAACUGCGAAUGGCUCAUUAAAACAGUUAUAGUUUAUUUGAUAGUGUUUUUACAUGGAUAACCGUGGUAAUUCUAGAGCUAAUACAUGCGCAAAUACCCGACUCACGAAGGGUAGCAUUUAUUAGUUUCAACCAUCACUUGGUGAAUCAUAGUAACUUAGCUGACCGCGCGCAAGCGUGGUAAAUCAUUCAAGUUUCUGCCCUAUCAGCUUUCGAUGGUAGUGUAUUGGACUACCAUGGCAGUCACGGGUAACGGAGAAUUAGGGUUCGAUUCCGGAGAGGGAGCCUGAGAAACGGCUACCACAUCUAAGGAAGGCAGCAGGCGCGUAAAUUACCCAAUCCCGAUUCGGGGAGGUAGUGACAAGAAAUAACAACUCGGGUGGUUUUCCACUUCGGGAUUGCAAUGAGACAAAUCUAAAAACCUUUACGAUUAACAAUUGGAGGGCAAGUCUGGUGCCAGCAGCCGCGGUAAUUCCAGCUCCAAUAGCGUAUACUUAAGUUGUUGCAGUUAAAAAGCUCGUAGUUGAAAGUCGAAUUAGUCUCGCUGAUGGCUCCAGUCGUCACGUUGGCUGAUUCUCCGUCUAUGAACUUCUUGCUCCUUAAAAAGAAUAAGAUGUUGAGUAGACACUUUACCUUGAAAAAAUUAGAGUGUUCCAGGCAGGUUUUCGCCGGAAUACAUUAGCAUGGAAUAAUGGAAUAGGACACUGGUCUGUUGUUGGUUUUUGGACCAUUGUAAUGAUUAAUAGGGACAGAUGGGGGCAUUAGUAUUUAAUUGUCAGAGGUGAAAUUCUUGGAUUUAUUAAAGACUAACUUAUGCGAAAGCAUUUGCCAAGGAUGUUUUCAUUAAUCAGGAACGAAAGUUAGGGGAUCAAAGACGAUCAGAUACCGUCGUAGUCUUAACUAUAAACUAUACCGACUCGGGAUCGGAAGGGUUAUUAAUUUGGCCCUUUCGGCACCGUAAGAGAAAUCAAAGUCUUUGGGUUCUGGGGGGAGUAUGGUCGCAAGGCUGAAACUUAAAGGAAUUGACGGAAGGGCACCACCAGGAGUGGAGCCUGCGGCUUAAUUUGGCUCAACACGGGGAAACUUACCAGGUCAAAACAUGGAUGGGAUUGACAGAUUGAAAGCUCUUUCUUGAUUCUAUGGGUGGUGGUGCAUGGCCGUUCUUAGUUGGUGGAGUGAUUUGUCUGGUUAAUUCCGAUAACGAACGAGACCUUAACCUGCUAACUAGUCCAUUCCUGAAUAAGGGGUGCGACUUCUUAGAGGGACUAUGUAUGUUAAAUGCAUGGAAGUUUAAGGCAAUAACAGGUCUGUGAUGCCCCUAGAUGUCCUGGGCCGCACGCGCGCUACAAUGACACGUUCAGCGAGCUCAUUACCUGGCCCGAAAGGGUUCGGGAAAUCUUGUUAGGACGUGUCGUGCUGGGGAUAGAUCUUUGUAAUUAUAGAUCUUGAACGAGGAAUUCCUUGUAAGCACAGGUCAUCAGCCUGUGCUGAAUACGUCCCUGCCCUUUGUACACACCGCCCGUCGCUCCUACCGAUUUCGAGUGAUGUGGUGAACCAUCUGGACUGCGAGUAGGCUCGAACUACUUGCGGGAAGUUUUGUAAACCUUAUCACUUAGAGGAAGGAGAAGUCGUAACAAGGUUUCCGUAGGUGAACCUGCAGAAGGAUCA